rnacentral:sRNA from 1 species
UCAUGUUGGGACGUGAUUCUCACACUCAAGAAAAGUCAUUUUCUGUACACAGAUAUUCCUAAAUCCAAAGGAAAUCUGAAGCAUAACCUGGUUGGGAGCACUUGGAUAAGGAAGAGUCAACCUGCUCUAAAUUUAAAACAUAAAGAAAGCGUUUGUACUUUUAGCACGUACCCUGAUGACAGGGAAGUUUUCAUGUCUUACGUCUAACGUGAAUCUUCACAAAUGGUUUGCAAUAGAUGACAAAGCUUUCCAAACAUUUCCCAUUCACAAUCCCUGUAUGCGGGAGAAAUAUUUACAUGACCCACGUAUAUAGAGAGAAAUAAAAAGAAAACAGGUACGCAAAACAAAUAUUUACUGAUGACAACUCGUAAAGAAUUUUACUUCGAAACAGUCCUUUGGUGUAUAUAAAUUUACGACCUGUUAAAGAUUAAAGCGGACCUGAACACUAAUGAGAUAAACGUGCUUAAACACAUUCGCAUAAUGGAUUAAAAGUUUGGUUGCCCAGUUGAUUCUGCAUGGCAGGGAAGGUCAUUUUCAAUGUUUUUCAGACGUGGUCGAUAUUUUAAUUAUAUAAUUGUUGAUGCCGAGAAGGCCUCUUUCCAGAAAUAUAUAGCACUGGGGAGCAGAAGUGCAUUUAGAGUUGAUUCAGAAAUUCUUGUUUUGAUACUUAGUUUCAUGAAUUACAUUCAUCUGACUCUUAGUGACGUCGGGAAAUACUAAAACAUGUAUUAAUUAACAGUAAUUUCUACUGGAAAAAACCUUCGCAUGCCUAUGGAAACCCUGCCAUUCAAAGGACAUGAAAGUCUUCAGUCUGAGUCAUGCUGGCGAAGGAAGGGUUGUUCACUGCACCACCAGAACAGCAAGCCUACUGCUCUGUGCACACGUGGGCUGUUUCAGCUGCAGUGAAGAAAGAAGAAGCAACAGGGGAAGCCUCUGCAAGAAAUGCCUUGAAUCCAUCACACGUUUGAUAUUGAAUUCAUUUCAAUCCUUGUACACUCAGAAUUCUUCUUCAAUUUCCAAUGUUUCAUGACCCCCAACAUUCAGUUGCAUGACCACAUAUGUGUUCGAAACCCAGUUUAAAAAGCCUAGGUCUAUAACACAGUCUUCCUUGAAGCCACAAACAUAGGGUGCUUUAUAAUACACCCUUCUCAGUCACUUGAACUAACAGAACUUUCGAGGCAUAUUCUAUUUUAACAUCACCUUGAUAAAGUUCUGAUUUAAAAUUAAUUAAAGUAGUCUCUUUCUAAACUCAGAUUUCAGAAACUAUGCUGAUGAAAUGAACUCUUAGUACCUGAGUUUUUUUAAGUGUCAUAGAAAUAUAAACAAUUUUCCCAUUAUGCAACAUAAAAUUAUAGACUAGCCAUAUUAUAUGAACUUUUAUUACAGGGCUGGAGAGAUGCUCAGUUGUUAAACAGCUCCUACCCUAACUGGGAACCCAAGCUAGCAUCUCCAUAUCCACUUUAGGCUACCACGACUGCCUAUCCAACCCCGACUCUGGCCUCUGCAAACAGAAUCCAUAUGUGCACAGGAACACAGGCAUACACAAAAUGAAGGACAAGUGUUCAAAGAAGAAUUAAGAUAUAAACAGCAAAGUCACUUAGAAUUUUACAAUAUGCUCCAAUUCCACAUCUUAGAUCUCAAACUGAACACCUUUCUAAAUCCACAGUGGGGGGAGAAAACCCUCUGUGCCAAACGCUUGCAAACACCCUCCAUAAUCAUUUGGAGAAGCAUGCUCUGGUAACAGUACACGAAUUAUUAUUAGAUUCAAGUACUGACUUAUCUACUAUGUUCAGAAAACUCCUGAUUUGGAAAAUUCACCUAGUUAUGGUGCCCCAAAGAUAUUCUCUAAAACUUAAUACUAAGCCUUGUAUCCAAAAGGGGAGUUUUCCUAUUUUCUUUCCCAUUAAACAAAGUGGUCCUUUAAAAAACAUACGGCCCUGUGCUCUAAGAGAAGUUUCAAUUUGUAUCUAUUUUUAGGCAUGGGUUUCCCUAUAAAACGCACCACAGCCCCGGAGCUGAAUGAGGCCCCGUGUUUAGAGGAACAAAGGUUCUUGCGAUCACAGUUCUCAGGCGUUCCCCUAGCCAGGCAUGUGUCUGACUUCUCUCCCAGGGAUAGAACGGGAAAACACACUAAGCUGAUUUCUGACACGUUACUCUUAACUACCUCACAAGCUAUUUUCAGAAACAUGGAUGUGAGAGAAGCCCUUCCCAUCACUCACGUAACUCCUUAUACAUAGCAUGCUUUGCCAAAAGCACCAAAGAAGUGACCCACUCAGUGAACAAACAUCUCCAACUUUUCAGCCAAGACUCAUAGUAUUGGGAAGGGGGUGUUGUUCUAAAAUCUCACAUAUUGUAUAUAGACUCAGAAAUCUCUUAUAAUCUCUAAUAGACGUGUCAUGUAUAGAGUACACAUAAAAUGUUAUGCACCUUGGCUGUUCCCACCACUUUCAUGGCAUUUCUGUCCGUUGUAUUAGUUGCCAAGUUUAAACAUCUCUUAAAAGCUCCUGAUAUACAGCUACUUUACAGCCACCAAAUGAUGUGAAGCUCUGUGAAACACAGGGGUGCAAGAGGACAGACACAUCUCUGCAUUCAGAGUGCUACCCCUCCCCACCCACCACACCAGCAUGGGGCUUCCUCCCAUUGUGCAUUCGAAUAUAGUGGGAAUGGGGGGAAAAUUCCCUAUAAAGAAUCUGCAACUGCUAUUUCGAUGAUAUCUGAGAAUCUUCCUCUCCAUGAGCCACUUUUCUUCUACAACCCAUAAGAAGAAACACAAAACAGGAUUCGGAAUGCGGUCUUGUGAAUGACUGCACAGGGCCCGUCACAUGCUCACACAGGGCAUUCUUUUCGUGGACAGUGUGUCUUCAGGGGGCCUUUUACAAGCCAGCAUGGCAGUGUUUUAUUGAAAGGUAGGGUCCCUUUUGCUUGUCAUCCUGGGAACACUGGAUAAUUUUUGGAAAGGGAAGUUUGUUAGCAGUACAUUUAUUUCACCCCAGUCCAUGUGAGCUCCCUCCCAUGAGUAAUAACAAAGAGUAUCUCCAGACAACACCAACCAUCCCUUGGAUGGCAAACUGCUCUUGGACUGGAAACCACAGACUUAGGGUAAUGGAUUUGCAUUUUAAUUAUAGAUGUAAAUCGAUACCUAUCAAAUCUUUGCUCAAUUACCCACAACAUCAUGUUCCAUUACCGUGUGAUAAAUUGCAAGGCGCGUAGCAUCUAAAUUUACAUAAUUUUCUUUAUCAUUUUUUAAAAAAAAUAUUCAAGUACCAAAAGUAGAAGUCACUGUUUCUGAUUUCCAGAAAUAUUAGACAAUUAAAAUGUUUCUCUUCCUUGUCUGUGGAAGAUUUGUUUCGGGUUUAGUCUAGCUCAAAAAAAAAAAAAAAAAAACGCACAAGGGGUUUUAUCUGAAAAGUGAACAUUGACCGAGUCUUAUGAAUGGGGUCUCGUGCUAUUUCCUAGCCCAGCUCCUGUUUGUUUACAUUGGAAUCCUUAUAAAUUGAGUGUUAUUUCCUUUCUACUAAAUUUCUGGGUAUUAACAGCCAAGAGGGGUU